rnacentral:rRNA from 1 species
GAAUUGCGAUAAGUAAUGUGAAUUGCAGAUUUUCAGUGAAUCAUCGAAUCUUUGAACGCACCUUGCGCUCCUUGGUAUUCCGAGGAGCAUGCCUGUUUGAGUGUCAUUGAAUUCUCAACCAUGUCUUGAUUGAUUUCAACACAUGGCUUGGAGUUGGGGGUUGUCGGAUGUCUGAAAGACAGGUCGACUCUCCUUAAAUGCAUUAGCAAAGGGGGCAGCAAGUCUUUUUGGACAUGCACGGCCUUUCGACGUGAUAAUGAUCGUCGUGGCUGGAGUGUUUGGAUCUUGCAUCGAGCUCUGUUUGCUUCAAACUGUGAUGAUGGAAUUCCAAGCCUAGUUACUAGCCAGUUGUGAGGCUGGCGAACACAGGUGGGGGAUGACUUUGUCGAUUUUGCAAGCUUGACCUCAAAUCAGGUAGGACUACCCGCUGAACUUAA